UGAUUCACACAUAAUCGAGACUGUGGA
rnacentral:sRNA from 1 species